rnacentral:rRNA from 1 species
GAUGAACGCUAGCGGCAGGCCUAACACAUGCAAGUCGAACGGCAGCGAGGAGUGCUUGCACUCUGUCGGCGAGUGGCGAACGGCUGAGUAACGCGUAGGAACGUACCCCAAAGUGAGGGAUAAGCCCGAGAAAUCGGGUCUAAUACCGCAUAUGAUCUUCGGAUUAAAGCAUUUAUGCGCUUUGGGAACGGCCUGCGUCGGAUUAGGUUGUUGGUGAGGUAAUGGCUCACCAAGCCGACGAUCCGUAACUGGUCUGAGAGGAUGAUCAGUCAGACUGGAACUGAGACACGGUCCAGACUCCUACGGGAGGCAGCAGUGAGGAAUCUUCCACAAUGGGGGCAACCCUGAUGGAGCAACGCCGCGUGCAGGAUGAAGGCUUCGGGUUGUAAACUGCUUUUAUUUGUGAAGAAUAUGACGGUAACAAAUGAAUA